rnacentral:rRNA from 1 species
CCUACGGGAGGCAGCAGUGAGGAAUAUUGGUCAAUGGGCGUAAGCCUGAACCAGCCAAGUAGCGUGAAGGAUGACUGUUCUAUGGAUCGUAAACCUCUUUUAUAAGGGAAUAAAGUGUGGGACGUGUCCUGUUUUGUAUGUACCUUAUGAAUAAGGAUCGGCUAACUCCGUGCCAGCAGCCGCGGUAAUACGGAGGAUCCGAGCGUUAUCCGGAUUUAUUGGGUUUAAGGGGGCGUAGGCGGCUUUUUAAGUCAGUGGUGAAAGUUUGUGGCUCAACCCUAGAAUUGCCGUUGAAACUGGGAGGCUUGAGUACGGUUGAGGCAGGCGGAAUGCGUGGUGUAGCGGUGAAAUGCUUAGAUAUCACGCAGAACCCCGAUUGCGAAGGCAGCCUGCCAAGCCAUGACUGACGCUGAUGCACGAAAGCGUGGGGAUCAAACAGGAUUAGAUACCCGUGUAGUC